rnacentral:tmRNA from 1 species
GGGGGCGAACGGUCUCGACUGGGUGGGAAGAAGCAGGGUGGCGAGCCGAGGUGCCAGGACCUCGUUAAUCAACUGGCAGACGCGAUAAGCGUCAACACCAACUACGCACUCGCCGCUUAACUAAGCGGUGACGUCCUCCCGGGAGGGCCGGUGGCCCGGGAAGGGCGCCACAAGCCGGCUACCGACGGCGGUCUCGGUCCGGGGCCGUCGGCGGGAACCUAAUCGGGCUGGCCGCCGGGUGAUCCGGUCCGCGGGAGCCCCGGCGGCGAGACCAAAGCGCGGACUACGCUCGUAGAGGCCUUGCCCUCAUUCACUCAGGACGCGGGUUCGAUUCCCGCCGCCUCCACCA